UCCCUAGUAGCUCAGAUGGUAAAGCAUUUGCCCGCCAUGCAGGAGACCCAGGUUCAAUACCUGGGUCGGGAA
rnacentral:tRNA from 1 species